ACGAACAGUUGGAAACGACUGCUAAUACCGCAUAAGACCACAGUACCGCAUGGUACAGUGAUCAAAGGAUUUAUUCGCCGAAGGAUGGCUUCGCGUCCGAUUAGGUAGUUGGUGAGGUAACGGCCCACCAAGCCUACGAUCGGUAGCCGGACUGAGAGGUUGAUCGGCCACAUUGGGACUGAGACACGGCCCAGACUCCUACGGGGAGGCAGCAUG
rnacentral:rRNA from 1 species